rfam:Caenorhabditis brenneri strain PB2801 C_brenneri-6.0.1_Cont34.27, whole genome shotgun sequence.
CAAUCCAGGUUGGAUCGGGCCUAUGCUGUUCUUUGCUGCUGUGAUAUUUCUGAGUCGUGAUUAUCACCGGGCGAAUAUCGGCACAGGCCCGGUCCUUCUUU